UUCUAGUUAUAUUUUCAGGUCAUGCGUUGUGUUGUUUGUGCGUGUUUUAGGAGACCAUUGUUAUUAUUAUUAUUAUUUUUCAUUAACAAUUCCUUUGUUCGUCAUCAUGCUGUUUUACAGUACGUAGUUGACCUUUAUUUAACUAGGCAAGUCAGUUAAGAACAAAUUCUUAUUUACAAUGACAACCUACGGGGGAACAGUGGGUUGACUGUUCAGUGACAGAACAACAGAUUUGUACCUUGUUAGACUGCAGCCUAUUCUAAGGGAAAGAAGCAUCUUUUGUCCCCCUCUUCCUUCAAUGAAAGUUCUGAUUCAUUACUAGCAACAUAUUUAGAGUGCUCCCCUUUUGUCCAAAAGCCCUUCAAUUUUUAGCUGUCUUUUUAAAAAUGGUUCUGUCUAAUUGUAGACUGUCUCUUCUAGGGGAGCACAAACAGUCAGAUUUAUAUGAAAAUUAACACACACAAAAACUCAAUCUCCAUUUCUAUUUAAACACAUUAUCUUGAAAUUGUAUAUUAUUUUUCAUUUAGUAUUACAAAAUUCCACUUCUUUGACCUGAUGUCUCUCGUCAACUUUGACUUUUUACAGCCAUGAUAAGUGCCUGAAGACAUAAAAGGGUUUCUACUGUAUGCAGUUCAGUACCAGUAUUAUCUGUGCCAGACUGUUAUGUUUUACUCUGUUUCUGGAAUGCUGUUUUUUUUUCUUCAUUAAAGGUUUUGCUGUUACAGCGGUUUCAUGUACAGGCGUGUGAUAGCUGGAUUGGCUUUUAUUUUGUCAUUUUACUUAAUAACAAAACAAAUCAAACCCUGACUGAUUUUGUCGUGUGGAUCAAGCUUAUUUUAUUAGUUGAUUGUAGAUUCUUUCUUAUACAUAUCCUUUAAAUCUCUCUUCUGUCUAGGCCGGGGAGAGGUUCUCUUCUCUCUCUAGGAGGAGAGGUUAUCUUCUCUCUCUAGGAGAGGUUCUCUUCUCUCUCUAGGAGGAGAGGUUCUCUUCUCUCUCUAGGAGGAGAGGUUCUCUUCUCUCUCUAGGAGGAGAGGUUCUCUUCUCUCUCUAGGAGGAGAGGUUCUCUUCUCUCUCUAGGAGGAGAGGUUCUCUUCUCUCUCUAGGUGGAGAGGUUAUCUUCUCUCUCUAGGUGGAGAGGUUCUCUUCUCUCUCUAGGAGGAGAGGUUCUCUUCUCUCUCUAGGAGGAGAGGUUCUCUUCUCUCUCUCUCUCUAGGAGGAGAGGUUCUCUUCUCUCUCUAGGAGGAGAGGUUCUCUUCUCUCUCUAAGUGGAGAGGUUCUCUUCUCUCUCUAGGAGGAGAGGUUCUCUUCUCUCUCUAGGUGGAGAGGUUCUCAUCUCGCUCUAGGAGGAGAGGUUCUCGUCUCUCUCUAGGAGGAGAGAUUCCCGUCUCUCUCUAGGAGGAGAGGUUCUCGUAUCUCUCUAGGAGGAGAGGUUCUCUUCUCUCUCUAGGAGAGGUUCUCUUCUCUCUCUAGGAGGAGAGUUUCUCAUCUCUCUCUAGGGGGAGGGGGGUCGGUUUAAGGUCUGUUUUUCCCUCCAAACUCAGGUUCUUAUAACCUGGUUGCAAAUCUGUUUGUGCUAUGUUGCCAUUAAGUUAGCAAGACAUCACAAAUAGAUCUGAAACCAGGCUAUGGUUCUUAUACCUGGGGGGUAAAAACAGAGGCGAAAAAGAGAGAGGAUCGUGUUAACUGAGGCGACUAAAUGCUUUAGCUUUGUGUUACUGUCUGGGUGAGGAUGUGAGGUAAACUAAACGUGCACUUGUAUGCCCCCCCCCCCCCCCUGACUCCUUGGUCCCCCUCUUCCCUCCAUUCCUGAUUUACCCCCCUACCUCCUCCCUCUGUUUACAAGGCAGACAUUUUGUGUUCUGAUCUAAUGAUGACAGGACAGUUGAUGGGAUGGAGGGAGGGUCCUGCCUCGUUGAACCAGCUCAUUGUGCUAUUACACCCCCUUUCCGUUUCCACUGCUUGGUAGAGAAGUAAACUGAACCAGACAUGUAAACUGAUUCUCCUUUUUACAUUCACUUUUAUUCCGCUUGAUUCCCCCAGCGAUGGAUAUAAUAGGUUUCCUUACUUUUUAAAAUUAAAAUAAUGAUGCUUGUAUUCCAUUGAAAAGCUUUGUGAUUUACAGUGUACAAUUUUUUUUUUUUUACCAUGAUUGUUGAAACUGGAUAGACAAUAUAAUUUCAAAGCUAUACAAUUUCUCCUCUUUGACCAUUUAGUUAUGAAAGGUAUGGGGAAAAUAUGUAAUAACCAUACGCUUAGAUCCUAUCAAGAACAUAUUAUAUACUUUAAUAAUCAGAGAAUCCUGGAUUUAUAAUUUUUAUGUUAAAAACUUCCUAAAAUUCAGAUUUUUCUGUCUUUGUCUGUUUUCUUCUAGAUUGAACUGUAGAAAAGAACACUGGAACAGUUUUAGGUUCAUUAUUACCAAUGGGGUGACAGGUGUGCCAUUCAGUCACAACAUAUUUUCCUUGCAUCUGCAUAAUAUACAUUAUUUCUUAUCCAAUUGUAAAAUUUAACCCAAAUAUAAAUGUGAUAGAACUCCAUGGACAGGGAAAUUACAUUUAUGUAUAUAAACAAAUUCAAAAAAUA